rnacentral:rRNA from 1 species
UACGUAGGGGGCUAGCGUUGUCCGGAUUUAUUGGGCGUAAAGAGCGUGUAGGCGGCCAGAUAGGUCUGCUGUGAAAACUCGAGGCUCAACCUCGAGACGCCGAUGGAAACCAUCUGACUAGAGUCCGGAAGAGGAGAGUGGAAUUCCCGGUGUAGCGGUGAAAUGCGCAGAUAUCGGGAAGAACACCCGUGGCGAAGGCGGCUCUCUGGGACGGUACUGACGCUGAGACGCGAAAGCGUGGGGAGCGAACAGG